CCUACGGGAGGCUGCAGUGGGGGAUAUUGCGCAAUGGGGGGAACCCUGAUGCAGCGACGCCGCGUGGGUGAAGAAGCGCCUCGGCGCGUAAAGCCCUUUCAGCCGGGACGAAAAUGACGGUACCUGAAGAAGAAGCCCCGGCUAACUACGUGCCAGCAGCCGCGGUAAUACGUAGGGGGCGAGCGUUAUUCGGAUUUACUGGGCGUAAAGGGGGCGCAGGCGGAGAUGCAAGCCAGGAGUGAAAAGCCGGGGCUCAACCCCGGGACUGCGCGUAGGACUGCGUAGCUGGAGUGCAGGAGGGGAAGGCGGAAUUCCUGGUGUAGCGGUGAAAUGCGUAGAUAUCAGGAGGAACACCGGUGGCGAAGGCGGCCAGCUGGACUGCAACUGACGUUGAGGCCCGAAAGCAUGGGGAGCAAACAGGAUUAGAUACCCUAGUAGUC
rnacentral:rRNA from 1 species